UCACACCCUCCCCAUGACCUCCCUUACUCUCCUCCUCAUCCCUUUUCCUCGCCCAAGUCUCCCUCCCACUUUCGUGUUAUCCUUCCCUCCCGUAGAUUCCACACAUGAGAGAAAACACAUGAUAGUUGUAAUCAGAGCAUGGCUGACUUUGCUUAACAUGACAUUUUCCAGUUCCAUCCAGUUUUCCUAUGUAUGAUGUAAUUUCAUUCUUCUUUACGGCUGAACACUCCACUAUGUAUGUAUACACCCCAUUUGCUUUAUCCAUGCAUCAGUUGACAGUCUGGGCUGAUUCCAUGGCUUGGCUACCAUGAAUUGAGCUACCAUACACAUGGGCGUGCAGCUACCUCUAUGGUGAUCUGACUCUAAUUCCUUUGCAUGUGUGCUGACGAGAGAAGGUGUGCCUGGAUGCUAUGGUAGUUAUUACUGUGCUGUUCUUGUCUCUAAGUGUCCUCUGAGUGCUCACCCUGUGCUUUGUUCUGUGAAGAAGUUUCUAGAUCUUGGCCACGAUAUAGUUGUUUUCUUUGGGGUCAAGUCCCUCUGGUGUUGUGCUCCUGAGUUUCUUCAUCAACCUAGGGUUCAGAUGCCAAUCAAGUCUGAUGACUGCAGAGGCUGUACCGAUCCCUGCCAGCCUGUGUAUCUUCUCCUUGCUUAAUCCCGAAUUUCUCAUCCCCAUUCUCCAGCCUAAGAACAGGCUCUCCGCUCUCCCACCCCGCUCCCACCUGGUUGAUAACCUCUUUGCUACUACAGUUUCCUUUGCAUUCAAUUCUUCCUGACAGAUUGGACGUGAAUCAUGUGUAAGUCUAGCUGACUCUCUCCUUGACCUUGGGAGGAUCGAGUUUCCAGUUUUUGGUUUUCUGGCCUGGUUUGUAUCACAAGACUGGGUCAUAGUGUGCUUGCUCCAAAGCUUCAGUAAGUUUAUUUCAUGAGCUUCACUGAUAACAGAAGGGAACUGAGUUAGAUCAGUCCCUUCCUGACUAAAAGGGAUAUUAGUGGCAGGAAUAUGGCCUGGUGGGGUUAAAACUAUCUGGGGGACAAAAGAUGGGUUGUGGCCUUAAUUUUAUCAUCAACUCCUUGGUGACUUGGAAGAAACCCUCCUUUUGGAGCUUUGGUCUGUAGAGUAAGGAGACUGGUUUCAGGAAAGCCCCUAAGCUUUCCUCUGGCUUUGGUAGCCUAAACUGUUAAGGCCUAAAUGUAAACCUGCUAGUAGUUUCCAAACCCUCUCUAUCACCAUGGACCAAUCUGUGAGUAUCUUUUUGUAAGCCCACAGAUUAGUGGGCUUCAUUUUGGUAUAUCUGCACACGCAUAGAUCACUCUUUGAUCGUUAUCCCCACCGUUACUCUCUCUCUCUGCCCUCCUUCCUCUUCUGCUCUUCUUUUCUGCUUUCUUGUUAGAUGUCUUCCUUCUUCCUUCUUCCUCUCCAUUUGCCCUCCUCUCUCCUCCAUGAGAGGAAACACGCAGUGUUUGACUGACUUCACUUCAACGAUGGUCACCAACUCCAUCCACUUCCCUGCAAUGACAUGACUUCAUUGUUCUUUAUGGCUGACUAAUAAUUCAUAUGUUCAACCCUGGUACGUGAGGUUUCAGAACUGUUGACCCACACUGCCAUGAGAAACAGCUUCGUCAAUUAGAGUAUAGCACCACGCUUCUGAAUAGUUCUAUUAUAUAUAUUUUGAUGUCAGCAUUGUUUUCAAAUGUCAUUUUAGCCCAUGCUAGACAUCUAGUGGCUGUUUUUGAUUUUCAAAUAUCAUUUCCUUUCUCCAUCCAUCCGUCUUUGGGUACCUAGGCAGUUUCCAUAGCUUCACCAUUGUGAAUGAUGCUGCAAUUCCAUGGCCUGGCUAAUAUCUCUACAGGAUGCUGAACUUAAUUCUCUUGGGAAUAUAGCAGGCAUAAAAGACCUAGAUUAAAUGGUAGGUUUAUUUUUAGUUGUUUUGAGGCACUCCCAUACUGCUUUCUGUUUUUGCCAGAUUACCGAGAAUUUACAUUUUUUCCACUAUAGUCAGAAUCAUAAAAAAUGCAGAUAUAACAUAUUAUCUCCCUUUAAAACCUUUCAGUGCUCAGAUCCCUAACAUUUGCCCCACCACUGACUUCAAUCUAAAUUUAUAACAUGACUUAUCUUCCUCAUCUCAUUUUAAGCCACUCCAAAGCUUCACGAUCUGUGGCUCAGUCGUGUUGAAAUUGUUUCAGUUCCCAGUUGAUGGCUUGCCUAUUGUAACUCAUUGCUUCAGGUCCCUGUCUUUCCUGUGUGGUCCUGCCUUCACGGCUUUGUUUUCCAUGUUUACUGCACAUGGCCGAAGCAGUAUUUAAUUAAGGAUGAGUGGGUUGCAUGAAUCAGGGCUACUCAUUCAUUUAUAUUUUAAUUCAUUCGUCUUCCAACAAAUGAUGGUGAUUUCACUGAAAGAAACACAAGCCCAAUUCUACUAGAUUAAAUUUUUAAAAAGUGGCGAGUAUAUUUGGAAUGUAAUAGAAGUCCAUAGAUUCAUGGACUCUUGGAUAGGAAUGAGAUGAUUCAGAAAUUCCAACAUGCUUGCCACUUCAUCUUUCUUGUGCUUCUUGCACUUCUCUCCUUGUUCUUAUAUGCAUGGUGCCUUUCUCCUCCUUCAGCUCCUGCAGGAUUCACUUGCCUUCCCUUCCAUCCCUUGAAAGGCAAAGAACAUCUAUAUGAACUGGGAAAAUAUCUUAGCCAACUGUUCCUUAGACUUAUAUGUCUGUUCCUUAACUUUAUAUGUCUAGAACGUAUAAAGAAGUAAAAAAAAAAAAAACAUGCCUCCAAAAUUCAAGGACCCAACCCAAAAAUGGACAUCUAAGGUGAAUACAUACUUUUCAGAUGAAGAAAUACAAAUGGCAGAUAAAUAUAUGAAACAAUGUUACAGCAUCAUUGGUCAUUCAAAAAAUGCAAAUUAAAACAGCACUGAGAUUCCAUCUUACUCCAGGAAGAAUGGUUAAGCUCAAGAAAUCAACCAAUAACAAAUGCUGGAGUGGCUGUAGGGAAAAAGGAACUCUUCUCCACUGUUGGUGGGAGUGUAGGCUGGUGCAACCACUGUGGAAAUCAGCAUAGGAUUCCUCAAAAAGCUAGGAUUAGAGGUCCCAUUUGACCCAGCUGUUCCACUUCUGGGCAUUUUCCCAGAAGAAUUCAAAACAUCUUACCGCAAUGAUAUAUGUGCACCCAUGUUUAUAGCAGCACAAUUGGUAAUAGCCAAAUCUUGAAAACAACCCAAAUGCCCUUCAAUCAAGGAAUAGAUAAAAAAAGUUGUGGUUUUUUUCUACAAUAGAGUACUACUCAGCUAUAAAAAAGAUUACAGUGAGGCUUUUAUAAGUAAAUGGACGCGACUUGCGACCAUACUUGUAAGUGAAAUAAAUCAGACUCACAUGUGUAAAUACCAUAUUGUCUCCCUAGUGUAAGAAAAUGAAAGAGCAAUUACAAUCCAAAAUCUACAGUAAGUAUUGUGUAAGGUAAGAAACUGCUCAAAGAGGAAAAGUAACUGGGUUAGGACAGAGGAGGAAAGAAGGAAGGGAAAAGGAAAAAGUCAUAAAUUUGUAUACAUAAGAUAGCUAAGAUGACUAUACUGCUAACUGUGUUAAUUCUUGGAAAAGAACAGUUAAUAGUCAUACGAUUAGAUCAAUUUUGCAUGUAUUUAUCUGGUAAUCUAAGCAACCCUUUUGAAGGUAACAAUAUGCAACAUUACAACCAUUGUUAAAUUCCUAUUAUCUUUUUUUUGAAAACCUAUAGUGUUAAUUGUUUGGAGUUUGAUGUUGUUAUUUGUCUCUUUUGCUUUUUGUUUUUAUUUUCUGUGUCUUUUUGCUCUUAAAUAAAUAAAAAAUAUUUUAAAAAAAGAAAAAAAAAGGAAAGGCAAAGAACUUCUCUUUAACCUGUAGAUGAUGAAACCAUAGGGUAGAUUCUUUCCACCCGGCUUGAGUCAAAAUGUCGACAAUGAAGAGGCUCUUAGGACAGCAAGAUGUCCUGUGGGUGAGUGUCCAAGGCAGUGCCCACCCCUUGGACUGGCCUGGAGGAGAGAGAGCUACCACAGACACAACCUGUCACACAGGCAGGAGUGCAGGCUCUGAAGUUGAAUUCUAGAUUCAGAACCCAGCUCUAACUCUCACUGAGUGAAUUUAGCAAGUCAUGUAAUUUUUCUGUGUUCUUUAGAAUGGACACAGUAGUACUUACAGUAGUAAUUACAGAUUAUUGUGAGAAUUAAAUAGGUCAAUCUAUAUAAAACAUAAUAAUUGCUGAGUGCAUGGUAAAUGCUAUGCUAGCAUUUGUGGGAUAAAAAUAAACAACAAAAUAAUCCAAUUGAGUUGCAUCUUCCCAAGAAAUAGCCACUUUCUUCAUAUUUAAUAAGAAUCUUCUAGGCACAAGGUACAGUUAUUAGUGAUUGAGAUACACUAGGGAUAAUAUGGACAAAAUUUUACCCUUUACUAUAUUUCACGGAGCUACAGACAAUACAGAAGGGAUAGAUUUGAGGAAUCUGCCUCUUAAAUUAGGAAUUAUGGGCUGGAGACCUGCUGUGACAUUUGCGGUUUUUAGCUCAUGCGAAUGUAGCCUAAUUAAUGAGAAGUUAUUGCUUGGCCAGGUAAAAAACUGCCAGAGUUGGGAGUGUUAUCAGGUAUGGCACAGUGAACUGGGCUCCCUGAUGUCAGCCUCCAGCAGGGGAGAAAACUCAACUAUGCAUUAAAGAAUGAAUUAUUCUUCAAGCAAAGCUUUGUUUUUUUUUCUUUUUGGUUUCCCUGGGCAUGUGGGUGAGAGUGAGUUGGGGCUGGGAAAUAUGAGAUUGUGAGUUUUUAGCUAAAACUGGCAAAGGACAGUUGUUCUGUCAGUUGGGAGCCAAAUGGAAAGGGACUUCAUCUACCCACAAAGGACAUUAUUUUCUUGAACAAUGUGACAAGACAUAGCAAUAAUAUAUGCAUACUAUAGUAGUGUAUAGUAGUGUACUUGUAUAAAUGUAUAAAGUACUAUACAUACUAUAGUAGUGUAUGGUAGUGUACUUGUAUAAAUGUAUAAAGUAGCAAUGUAUAUUGAAUCUUUUUUAUAAUAAGCCUGGUUUUCAGUAUUUCUUUCUGAAUCAUUUUAAUUAUCAAAAUACCACAACAAUUAUGCUAUUUUUGUUAACUGGAAUUGGCUAACUAUGUCCUUCAGAAUUAAGAUGAAAAAUUUUCCAACAGGUCUUUUAUCACAUGUCAUGUCUUGAUUUUCAUUUUGUGGUUAGGGUUAGGCGAUAGAUAUUAGGGAGAGUGUAAAGAUUAGGUUUACGGUUAGGUUUAAUUUUAUGAUUAGGUUUAGGUUUAGGCUUAGGGUUAGGUGUAGGGUUAGGGUUACAUUUAGUGUUAGUUUUUUUUAUUUUAAAAACAAAAAAAGAAGAAAAAUGAUGAUACAGAAUUUCAAAAACAAAGUGACAGGAGAUGAACACUGGUUAAUAUAUUGCUUAUUGUUAUCUUCAAGGCAGUAUGAGAGAAAAUAGCCAUUAAAUAUACUGUACGUACAUAUUCUUGAUGUUUGGUCAGAAUUGUUCCCCAGUGAUGGUAUUCCUCUACCAAUCUCUUACAGGGUUAGGGAAACGGUUUGUGGGCACGAAGUGAAAUCUUUCAUUCUCCAGUGAGAAAAGUGUCUGCAUGUGUAAUUCACUCCUGUAUCUCUGCUGCCUGAAAAUGACAAUGACUACUUUCAUUGAGUGCACAGGGAGGAAUCUUCGACUUACAUAUGGUGUGACCUCUUCCAAAUUGUCCGCCUGUAAGUGACAGAGUCAGACUGGAACUCAGGAGCUCUGGGAGGGUUAAUAAGUUCCUACUCUUUGCGGCUGAUCACACCUUCUUCAGAGAUUUGAACUGGUUUAGAUUGUGUCCCCAGAGUACCAAAGAACUGGUAUGAGCAAUUUCCUGAGAAAUACACCAUUUAACUUUUAUUAUUACCAAAUUGACUUUUGAUUUUAAUAAACUGUUAUAAACCA